GCCGCUAUAGCUCAGUUGGUAGAGCAACGCUCUCGUAAAGCGUAGGUCAUCGGUUCAAGUCCGAUUAGCGGCU
rnacentral:tRNA from 2 species